UCCCAUGAGAUAGUCCAGUUAAAAUUGGACCAUAGAAUUUUAUUUUAUUUUUGAGGGAAGGACCAUAGAAAAAUUGAAAGUGGAGGACUUUAAAUUUUAAAAAUAAAAUGAAAGGGUGUGGAUUAUUUAAUAAUGAGAAACAUGACGACGUUAAAGGUGAUUCCAGUUGAUUCAGAAGAGAGGGUUCCAAAUUCUAUGUCGUCAUCAUAUAUGAAGGCUUUGACGAAUCUAAUUAACGGGGAACACACACGUGAUAUUGAGCUUGAUUGGUGCGAGAUCUCUAGACGACAUUACAAGUGUAUGCCAAGGUGGGGAAUUCCCAAGUGACAUCGAGGGUGUAACUCGAUCGUAAGGAGCUACGAUGCAAUCCAUUUGUACCUUUUUCUGUCACCUAAAUGGAUUUCAGUUUAAGUCGAGCAAGCCUAUGAGGGUUUAAAAGUACACGCCUCCAUAAGAGGUAGCAUAAACCAUAUUUCUUAUGUAGGGGUACCAAAUGGGUCAGAGUUGUCCCAUGUGUGAAAUGCAUUGAGUCUUACAUUGUGCGGAAUCAAAGUGUGCUUGGGAGAAAUAUCAAGGGAAAGUAUGUGUGAAUGUAUACAUAUGAGAGCGUACCAUGCAUCAUAAUUUGUGUCGGUCGUGCUUGGGUUUGGGGUCUUGAAAAUGACCCGAGUGCGCGAGUGAUUGUGCAGCUUAUCCUAAUGACAAUAUAUUCCUAAUUAUCUCAUGGUACUUUUAAAUGAUAAUAUGUGUUUUAAGUCUCUAAUAUGGUCCUUUCAAAAAAAAAAAAAAGAGUCUCUAAUAUGGUAUUUUAUGCGUCUUACUAACACGUCCGCUCGAAACAUAGGAGCAACAAGAACAUAUAGCCGACUCCAGUAAUUAACCAAACUCGCAUGGCCCUAAAUCUUCUAUUAGCUCUCUGAGUUUUGUAUUCAAGUUCAAACAAGCAACACCAUAUAGGGUCCGGAUGAAUACACAUAACAAUGAUCAUGUGCAACUUAACUAUAUACAGCACCAUCUAGUCUAUAACAUCAACAUCAACAUUUUAUACAUAUAUAUAUAUGAGAAUGUAACGAACAUUUACAUGAAAAUUUUAUGCAACUAUAUAUCCUCAUAAACCAAUUAUUAAUUUCAAUAUAAGAUAUUGACAAUACAGAGGUUUAUGAAUAGUUUUGAUAUAAUUAAUGAUGAUGAGCGUCAGGUCCACCGGGACUUAAUCUUUGUAGCUCGUCACGUUUUCCACCUUCUUCUUCUGGAAAUGGUUGUAUGGAAUUCCAAUUCCAAUGAGAAGUUGCUAACAUGUGAUGAUCACUUACCAUUGUUGGGUUCAGAUGUCGUGUCUCACCUCUACCACAUAGAACCAACACUAACAAAAUGCAACUCAAAAUUCUCGUUUCUUUGGUCAUUCUCAAUUGUCACGGUCCAAUAUAUGUUGGCUGAACUUAAUGUUUGUAAGAGCUUGGAAUAUGGUAUUUAUAGCUUAGUUUAGAUUUAUUUUUUAAUAUUUUAUUAUUAUAUGUGUACGUAUGAAUCACUAAAUUGAAGUGCGGUUGAGUGUAUCUGAUCUGAAUUUAGCUG
rnacentral:lncRNA from 1 species